UACGUAGGGACCAAGCGUUGUUCGGAUUUACUGGGCGUAAAGGGCGCGUAGGCGGCGCCGCAAGUCACUUGUGAAAUCUCCGGGCUUAACCCGGAACGGCCAAGUGAAACUGCGGUGCUAGAGUGCGGAAGGGGCAAUCGGAAUUCUCGGUGUAGCGGUGAAAUGCGUAGAUAUCGAGAGGAACACCUGAGGUGAAGACGGGUUGCUGGGCCGACACUGACGCUGAGUGCGCGAAAGCCAGGGGAGCAAACGGG
rnacentral:rRNA from 1 species